AGUUUGAUCAGUGGCUCGAAGGACGAACGCUGGCGGUGUGCUUAACACAUGCAAGUGGUGCGACGAACCAGAGCUUGCUCUGGGGCAAAGCCGCGAACGGGUGAGUAACACGUGGGUAAUCUACCCCGAUGACCGGGGCAACCCGAGGAAACUCGGGCUAAUACCGGAUGUGGUACGGAGACAUAAGUCUCUUUACUAAAGGUAGCUUCGGCUUCCGCAUUGGGAGGGGCCCGCGGCCCAUUAGCUAGUUGGUGGGGUCAAGGCCUACCAAGGCAACGAUGGGUAGCUGGUCUGAGAGGACGAUCAGCCACACUGGGACUGAGACACGGCCCAGACUCCUACGGGAGGCAGCAGUGGGGAAUCUUGCGCAAUGCGCGAAAGCGUGACGCAGCAACACCGCGUGAGGGAAGACGGCCUUAGGGUUGUAAACCUCUUUCAGAUGGGACGAAGGCGAUGCGGUGAAUAGCCGAUGUCAUUGACGGUACCGUCAGAAGAAGCUCCGGCUAACUACGUG
rnacentral:rRNA from 1 species